AUAAAUAAGGUAAAAGCACUGAAUGUGUGAGUAUCCCUAACCUUGCCAAAAGACAAAGCGUCAUGAAUGGGUCAGUGGUUCACCAAUCAGGGCCUUGAUUGGCUAGGCAACAGUAACAAGGAGUGAUGUGUAAUACAUUUUUCUUUGGACACAAAUGUUCUCGCAACGUUCCCCAACAUGUCUAGAACAUUAAUAUCUUAUGUUCUGAGAACACAAUCAUGUUCUGUGUAUGUUUGGUGGAACAGUGAUGGAAUAUUCUCCUAAAAAAAAAAACUGGACACAUGAAUGUUCUUUCGAACGUCCCAUAAAAAGCGUCUAGAACAUUGUUGUAUAUUCUGAGAAUAUUGUAUGUUCUGCUUGACAUUAAGGGCAUGCCCUAAUGUUCUAACUAACACAAAAGGUUCUCAUAAGGUUUUUGUUACAUAGAAUGUUCCCUCUAAUUAACUGGACACUCAACAUUAGGGGAACAUUACACAAACGUUCUCUCCCUCGAACUGUUAGCUGGGAAGACACUAGCUGCUUCCAGGUAUCUUUUUUUAUCACACUGGCUACAAUAUCUGGGAUGAGAAACAGAGUUGGAUGUUUUCUUCACCAAUUGUCUAUUUCUCCAUUAACAGCCAGUCAUGAAGGUCCUAGUGCUGCUCGCGCUUGCUGUUUUCACUGGGUGCAAAACUUAUGUUCUGUGGCAGGACCAGUCUAAGUGGAUCAGACAGUGGUGCCACACAGUCAAAGUGCCUAUGCUGUGAACCAGUACACUGUGGCCAGGUGACUCCUCUGACUCAGGACCUGCUGGGAAGGCCAAACAACUGAAGGCUCACCUGGAGAAGGAACUGAGCACUGGCUGAAGGCCACUCUUCUCCUGAAGAGUGAGGAGCUGAAGGGAAGCCUGGAGAAGGAACUGAGCACUGGCUGAAGGCCACUCUUCUCCUGAAGAGUGAGGAGCUGAAGGGAAGCCUGGAGAAGGAACUGAGCACUGGUUGAAGGCCACUCUUCUCCUGAAGAGUGAGGAGCUGAAGGGAAGCCUGGAGAAGAAACUGAGCACUGGCUAAAGGCCACUCUUCUCCUGAAGAGUGAGGAGCUGAAGGGAAGCCUGGAGAAGGAACUGAGCACUGGCUAAAGGCCACUCUUCUCCUGAAGAGUGAGGAGCUGAAGGGAAGCCUGGAGAAGGAACUGAGCACUGGCUAAAGGCCACACUUCUCCCAAAGAGUGAGGAGCUGAAGGGAAGCCUGGAGAAGAGUAUGUAGCAGCUGCAGGCCGAGCUGGGCCCCUAGCUGAAGCAGAAGUGGCCAGAACCUGGAGGAGUUCCAGAAUGUCAUGAUUUCCCUGACCCAGAGCUCGAAGACUGAGCUGACUCAGAGAACACAGGAGCUCCAGCAGAAUCUAGCCCCAUAUGGAGAGGACUUGACGACCCAACUGCCAUUAAGAAGUGCCAGUAAUCAGACUGAUUUGACUUGUUCUACUAGAACUGCGUCCUGAUUAAUAAUUUUCCAUCAAAGUCCAAAAGGGGCAAUAUGUACAGUAUACUGACAGAGUAUUGUUUGUCUCAUACAUAAUAAACAAACACACGUCUCUGUUUCAAGUUAAAUACGAAGCCUAAUGCAAUAACAGUCAACUUAAAAAUAGUAUCAUAUGUUAUAUCAAAUUUAUAACCGUGAACAAAAGAAAUGAACACAACAAUUUAAGAUUUUAUUGAGUUAAAGUUCAUAUAAGGAAAUCAGUCAAUUGAAAUAAAUUCACGAGGCUGUAAUCUAUAGAUUUCACAUGACUGGGAACACAUAUGAAUCUGUUAGUCACAGAUACCUUAAAUAAAAAAGUAGGGGCGUGGGUCAGAAAUCCAGUCAGUAUCUGAUGUGACCAUUUGCCUGUGGAAUGAAGUCCCACUUCUUUUUAAUCGCUUUGCGAAUUUGCUGGAUAUUGGCGGGAACUGUAACACGCUGUCGUACACCUUGAUCCAGAGCAUCCCAAACAUGCUCAAUGGGUGAUAUGUCUGGUGGGUAUGCAGGCCAUGGAAGAACUGGGACAUUUUCAGCUUCCGGGAAAUGUGUACAGAUCCUUGAGACAUGGGGCCAUGCAUAAUCACGCUGAAACAUGGUGUUGGCGGAAGAUGAAUGGCCCGACAAUGGGCCUCAGGAUCUCAUCACGGUAUCUCUGUGCAUUCAAAUUGCCAGCGAUAAAAUGCAAUUAUGUUCGUUGUCCGUAGCUUAUGCCUGCCCCACCGCCAUCCCAGGGCACUCUGCUCACAAUAUUGACAUCAGCAAACCGCUCAACCACAUGUGGUCUGCAGUUGUGAAGGCGGUUGGACGUACAGCAAAAUUCUCUAAAACGACAUUGAGGCAGCUUAUGGUAGUGAUAUUAACAGGAAAUGCUCUAGUGGACAUUCCUGCUGUCAGCAUGCCUACUCAAAACUUGAGACAUCUGUGGCAUUAUGUUGUGACAAAACUGCACAUUUUAGAGUGGCCUUUUAGUGUCCCCAGCACAAGGUGAGCCUGUGUAAUGAUCAUGUUGUUUAACCAGCUUCUUGAUAUACCACAACUGUCAGGUGGAUGGAUUAUUUUGGUAAAGAAGAAAUGCUCACCAACAGGGAUGUAAACAAAUUUGUGCACAAAUUGAGAGAAAUAAGUUUUUUUGUGCAUAUGGAACAUUUCAGGGAUCUUUUAUAUCAGCUCAUGAAAUAUGGGACCAACACUUUCCAUGUUGCGCCUAUAUUUUUGUUCAGUGUAAAUGUAUGUACCACUAUUGUUUCACAUGAUCAGUUAUUGGACUCACCAUCUCCUGACCAAUAUCUACAUGUGACUCAGGACUAUAUUACAGAAGAUGUGCAGGAUUCUAUCAUCAAUAGAAUAAUCACAUCUACUGUUGCCCUCUUGAAAAGGGUCUCAAUUUCUUCAAGCAAACUUUCCUACAUAUCAGCAUAUUUGUCAGUAUUAUCAUGUGUGAUUUAUAUAAAUUAAACUCAUGAGCAGCAUUCAGCUUAUUCUCAUCUUUUUAAAACAAUUCAGGCUCUGUCAACUAUGAGCAGAGAAUUUGAAGCAAUAAGAAACAAAACCAAUUCUCUCUGUAUUUUGUAAGAAAUGGCAUUUAUCCUUUUCCCAAUAGAUAUAUACAGGUAAUCUAUACGAUUAUGAAAAAGAUUUUCCUGCCCUCUGCCUCCCCAACCUAAAAAACAAACAAGUGAAAAGAAGCAGAUAGACCAUACAACACAAAAUAAAUAAAAACAAACCGACCAAAACAAAACUGUACCGGCACAGACCUAAAAACAAAAGUACUAUAAUUUGAUAGUUUCCUAACAGCAAGUGUUUUACUGAGUCCUCUUUUACUGCUGUCUGCUAUGUUGGUCUCAAUAUGUUAGUCUCUGAAGUAUAUGGCCAUUGUCCAAUCUCAUCAACACAUUGUCCUCAAUCUCUGACCCA